CGGGGAGUGGCGCAGUGGUAGCGCUCCACGUUUGGGACGUGGUGGUCGCGGGUUCGAGUCCCGUCUCCCCGA
rnacentral:tRNA from 1 species